CGGCGGUGGCUAGAAAUUGAUGGAAACAAAGGGGAAAAGACACAAACUGGACUCUAACAAGACCUAUCCAGCAACAAGACCUCGACCAGGACAAACUCAACACUGCAGACUCUAAAACUGAAAUAUGCAGAGGCUAUGGCGCGGAAGGGUUGUAGGACUGGAAAACGAUAUGUUAUUGGACUUAUGGGACGAACACAGGAACACUCGAAACAAAGGGUAGAUGUGAACCUAAUGGUAUACCUAAUGCUUUGAUUACCACUUGAUGAGAACAAGGGUGGCCUGAUCUUCCGAAAGGUUCUGGUAACUCUCGAUUUGGUGGAGACGAGACACAAAUCGAUCCGGCUUCCGAACAACACGAUCCGAAACCUUGCAAUUGUUUUUUAUUUUUUUGAUAUUUUUAUUUUAGUUAGGAGCACCAAAAGAGUAACCACAUAAAAUUUGAGUUUAAACAAGUGAAAAACAUGGCCUGUGGAAUUAUCUGAAGAUUGUGAAAAAUGUGAAAAAACUUCACGAGGUGAAAACUCAAACUUUGGAGGUGAAUUUGCAGGUUCUAAAAUUUUCAAACCCACCAAAAGCUAGGACACACAGAUCCAAAAAUUUUUUCUGAUCGAUUUUGAUAUAUGGAACGUUGAAAUAGGAGUUCGUAUGGGAAAGUUAUGGCUAUUUUACGAACGGACUCCGAAUUAGAGGACAAAACGGUCCAAAAGUGGGAAAAAUUUGCGGUGGUGGCUAGAAAUUGAUGGAAACGGUGGGGAAAAACACACGAACUGGACUCUAACUAGACCUAACCAGCAACAGGACCUCAACAAGAACACAAACUCAACACUGCGGACUCUGAAACUGAAAUAUGCAAAGGCUUUGGCGCGAAAGGGUUGUAGGACACGAAAAUGAUAUAGCACUGGACUUAUGGUACAAACACAAGAACACUCGAAACUAAGGGUGGAUGUGAACCUAACUGUAUACCUAAAACUUUGAUUACCACUUGAUGAGAACAAGAGUGACCUGAUCUUCCAAAAGGUUCUGGUAACUCUAGAUUUGGUGGAGACGAGAAACAAAUCGAUCCGGCUUCCGAACAACAUCAUAUGAAACCGUGCAAUUUUUUUAUUUUUUUGAUAUUUUUCUUUUAGUUACGAGCACCAAAGGAGUAACCACAGAAAAUUUGAGCUUAAACAAGUGAAAGACGUGGCCUGUGGAAUUUUUUGAAGAUUGUGAAAAAUGUGAAAAAAACUUCACGAGGUGAAAACUCAAACUUUGGAGGUGAAUUUUGAGGUUCUAAAAUUUUCAAACCCAACAAUGGAGGGGACAGACAGAUCCAAAAAAAAAUUUCGGAUCGAUUUUGAUAUAUGGAACGUUGAAAUCGGAGUUCGUAUGCGAAAGUUAUGGCUAUUUUACGUACGGACUACGAAUUAGAGGACAAAACCGUCCGAAAGUGGGAAAAAUUUGCGGUGGUGGCUAGAAAUUGAUGGAAACGGUAGGGAAAAACACACGAACAGGACUGUAAUAAGACCUAACCAGCAACAAGACCUCGACCAGGACAAACUCAACAAUGCGGACUCUGAAACUGAAAUAUGCAAAGGCUAUGGCGCGGAAGGGUUGUAGGACAUGAAAACGAUAUGGCCCUGGACGUUUGGGACGAACACAUGGAAUAACACUAGGAGUGUUACAUCAUCGGCAGUAAUCUAGUGCUGAGGAUCCACCGAUGUGCUUUUUUCAGCUGCCUCUGAAGUCAAUACUUUGGUCUUUCCCUUAGCAUCCAACAUAUUUGUAGGGAAAUGAUGUUGGUCGAUCUUCAUCGGCUUUUGAGCUUUGGAGUUAUCGAACCUAAUUCUCCCAAACUCUAUAGCCGACUGCAGCUGCUGCCUGAAAACUUUGCAUUCAUUUGUACUAUGAGAUGUUGCAUUAUGCCACUUGCAAUACUUAAUCUUCUUUAAUUCUUCUGCCGAUGGAAUCACAUGGUUAGGUGACAACUGAAUUUGCCCCUCCUGAAGCAAAAAGUCAAAUAUCCUAUCGGCUUUGGUGAUGUAAAAUGCAAACUUUUCUGGAUCUUUAUGCCCAAAAGGGCAAGACAUCGGCUUUUUAUUUUUUACCCAUUCUGCCAAGCUGAUGACUGGCUCUUCAUCAGAAUCUGAGCUCGUUGCCUCAUCGACAAAUGACACCUUUUUGUUCCAUGCCCUCUUGGGUUCAAAAGCUUUGAUAUCUUGGUCAGAAAUCCACUGCACUAAAUGGCUCAGACUUUCAAACUCUUGAGAAGCAUACUUGUCUUUAAUGUGUGGCAACAACCCUUGGAAAGCCAAAUUGGGGAGCUGCCGAUCAUCCAAAACCAGACUAUAACAUUUAUUCUUAACAUCUCGCAACCUUUGCACAAAGCUCUCAACCGAUUCGUCAUUGCUCUGCCUUAGCCUGACUAAAUCGGUAAUCUUCUUCUCAUGCACUCCAAAAAAGAAGUAUUUAUGGAACUAUUUUUCUAGAUCGGCCCAGGUGAUCACUGAGUUUGGAGGUAAUGAAAUAAACCAAGUAAAGGCCGAUCCAGACAAAGAUGAUGAGAAUAAGCGAACCCUUAACUCAUCUCUGUUAGCAGUUUCCCCAUACUGGAUGAUGAACCUAUUAACAUGCUCCAUGGUUGACGUAUCAUCCUGCCCCGAAAACUUGAUGAAAUCCGGCACCUUGUACCGAUUUGGAAGCGGAAUUAAGUCAUAUGCUGGAGGAUAUGGUGUCCGAUAAGAGUAAGUGUUGACUUUGGGUUUUAUCCCAAAUUGGUCUCUCAUCACCUCAGCUAUCUUAUCGGCCCAGUAAGCAUCAGCAUAUUGCCGAUGAGCUUGUUGUGGAUUCGGCAUCUGCUGAUAAGCUUCCACAUGUCUCUGCAGUGCACGAUCCCUACAGAACAUAGGAUUAGCCACCGCCUGUUGACCACCAACUUGGUGACCAAGAUUCAUCGGCUGGUUGAUCAACCCUUGAUUUUGAAAUCCAGGUUGCAUUGGUCCUUAUUGAAAUCCCAUAGCCUGAUGAUUUUGCUGAGGCAUCUAUGGAAAGACAAACUGCCCUGUCCAUCCAUUGUUAACAUUCAUCGGCGUAGGUCCUGCCGAUGGCUGAUAAUUGGGCAUCAUCAUCAAAUUGACAUACCCUAGCUGUGUCAUAAACCUUUGCUGUGUCAGCAUUGGAUCUGCCGAUGCAUUAGGCAUCUAGAACGUUGGCAUUUGAGAAUUCCUAGCAAAAGGUCUUGUAGUAGUAGUUGUAGAAUACUUGGGAUUCUGAGUCAUCGGUGAGCCUGGGGGUGCCGAUGCCAUAGGAGCAUUGCCUGUCAUGUCAGCCACUUGAGAUGUCCCAGAACUUUUUGCCAUAAAUUCUGGGGGCAUACCAUAUCCCCACCAAUUGGGAGGAACAAAUACUGACAUUGCUGAUGCUAAUAAAUCUGUAGCAAGUUUGACUUGUCCCUCUGAUGUUGAUGGAUUAGUCGUCAUCGGUGUAGAUUGCGCAUUAGUCAUCCCUAAUGUGCUUGGAGGAGAAGUAACUUCCGUACCUGCAACCGCUGUAGUAGCCGAUGGAGCCGUAACCGAUGAUGAUCCUGGCUGNNNNNNNNNNNNNNNNNNNNNNNNNNNNNNNNNNNNNNNNNNNNNNNNNNNNNNNNNNNNNNNNNNNNNNNNNNNNNNNNNNNNNNNNNNNNNNNNNNNNGGCUAGAGUAUAGUGAGUCCAAGGAUGCUGCUUAUUGCUUAUAUUGUUAUCUUUUCUUUAAUUCGGGGAAGACAGAAAAAUUUGGAAGUUCUGUCUUUGCGCGAUCGAGGUUAUCAAAAUUGGAAGAAUGCUAAGGAUACUUUUCAUAAGCAUAGUGCUUCGAAGACUCAUACAGAGGCCAGACUGAAGUGUGAUGAUUUUAUGAACCAAAGGACAAGUGUGGGUCAAAGAAUAGUUGAGGUAAGCACGGAGGAAGAAAAACGAUAUGAGAUUCGUCUGACAUCAUCUUUAGAUGUUGCAAGAUUUCUCAUAUAUCAAGGGCAACCUUUUCGUGGAGAUGAUGAGAGUUCUACUUCCCUCAACAAGGGUAUGUUUAGAGAGAUGGUUGAUUGGUAUAAGGAUAAGGUAGAUAUAGUCAAUGAUGCAUAUGAAAAAGGUUCUAAAAAUUUCCAGAUGAUAUCUCUUGAUAUACAAAAGGAUCUUACAAAAGCUUGUCCUGAGGAAGUCACAGCUGUCAGUAUGGAUGAGAUCCUUGGUAGAAAAUUCUCAGUGCUUAUUGAGGAGUCUCGGGAUGUAUCAAUAAAAGAGCAAAUGGCAGUGAUUCUAAGGUUAGUAUUCCACAGUUGCAAUUUUGUUCAUAGAUUUUAUUAUAAUUAUUUCUGCAAUUAUACUAACACAUAAAUAAAUAUACUGUGUAGGUUUGUGAAUGAUAAAGGGAAAGUGGUGGAGAGAUUUCUUGGGCUUCAGCAUGUUCAGAGUUGUACAGCUAUUGCAUUGAAAGAGGCUUUGGUCAGUAUGCUUUCAAGUCACAAUUUGUCUAUCUCUAUGCUUCGUGGGCAAGGGUAUGAUGGAGCCUCUAAUAUGAGAGGUGAAUUUAAUGGGGUCCAAAAACUGAUCCGUGAUGAAAAUCCUUAUGCUUUCUAUGUGCAUUGUUUUGCCCAUCAAUUGCAACUAGUGGUGGUUGCUGUUUCAACUUCUAGUGCAGAUAUUGCAGAUUUCUUUAACUAUGUUCCUUUAAUAGUCACCAAUGUGGGUGCAUCUUGUAUGAGAAAAGAUGCUUUGCUUGCAAAGCAUCAAGAUGUGUUGCUAGAAAAUAUUGAGAAGGGUGAGAUUAUGACUGGAAGAGGUUUAAAUCAAGAAAGUAGCCUAGCUAGGCCAGGAGAUACUAGAUGGGGUUCACAUCUUAAAACUUUGCUUCGCAUUUUGGUGAUUUGGGAGGCUAUCAUAGAUGUGCCUGAGAUAGUGAAGAAAGAUUCUAUUAAACCAAGAAAUAACAGUGGAGCUUUAGGAUUAAUUAAAAAAAUGGAGAGCUUUGGUUUUGUGUUCAUCCUGCAUUUGAUGAUACAAUUGUUGAGCAUGACAGAUAUUUUGUCACAAGCUUUGCAAAAGAAGGAUCAAGACAUAGUUGAAGCAAUGCAUUUGAUCUCAGAUGUGAAAGAUAGCUUGCAGGAUAUGAGGGAAAAUGGAUGGGAGCCAUUACUCAAAAGAGUGAUAACAUUUUAUGAGAAGAAUGAGAUUGAAGUGCCGGAUAUGGAUAAGGAAAUAAAUGUUAGAGGGACAUCUAGAAGAAGGAAGCAAAAGGUAACAAACAUGCAUUACUAUCAUGUUGAACUUUUUCUGGUCGCCAUUGAUGCCCUCUUGACUGAGAUGAAUCACCGGUUUAGUGAAACUAGUUCAGAGUUAUUACUAUGUAUGGCUGCUUUUAACCUAAGGAACUCCUUCUCUAAUUUUGAUGUGGACAAACUUGUGAGGCUUGCUGAAAUUUAUGCCGAUGAUUUUGAUAUUGGUGAACUUGCUGUUUUGCCAAAUCAUCUUACACAGUUUGUCAACCGUGCUAGAAGAACUCCAGACUUUCUUGGAUGCAUUGAGCUUGGAAAAGUUGCUGAAAUUAUGGUCAAGACUAAAAUGCAUACAUCUUAUAAAUUGGUUUAUCGUCUCAUUGAGCUAAUCUUGAUACUGCCGGUGGCAACAGCUUCAGUUGAGAGAAUAUUUUCAGCCUUGAACAUUAUAAAGAUAGAUUUGCGCAAUAAAAUGGGUGAUGAAUGGCUCAAUGAUUUGAUGAUAUGUUAUACUGAGAAGGAGAUAUUUAGAAAGAUUGAUAAUGGAAAGAUCAAAAAGCGGUUUCAAGAGAUGAAAAAGCGACGUAUGUUAUUGCCUAGAAAAGUAGUGGUACGCUCUAUUCUCUUCUAAAUUUAUAAUUUGGAGGUCCAUAUAUGUAUCACUAUUAUGUCUAUUUGCGUAGGUUGCAGCUUCGGAGGAAUAAUGUGGGGCAAGCGUAGUGAUUAGUUUUGCAAUUGGUCCUUUCGGUAUUUAUGAACUUCAUCUUUUUCUUUCAUGACAUAUUUUGUGAAUUUUUGUUGUUGGUCGACGUUUUCAAUAUAAGCUUGAUUUAUGCUAUUAUAUAUACGUCUAUUGUGAAAGGGUCAUAGUAGAGAUAAAUUGUCGUAGACUUGUUCAGCCCGCCCUAAAUUUUUUUUCUAGCUUCGUCGAUGCUCCCACGCCGCAUCCCCUCUCCACAAGGAACCGCAGCCCCCUGAUGUGCUCGUGUCGAGGUCGGCUUUCGGCGACGAUCUCCACGAUGGCCUGCGAGCUUGGCUCCGGAUUCGCGCCUGAGUGACGGCGCGGCUUCGGCCGAUCACCUGCUCCGGUCCUGCCUCACCUGACCGAGCCGUGCUCGUGCGCGCCGACCAGUCGACGGACGACGACCGAGCCGCACUCGUGCGCAGCAGGUGGAGGAGGACUGGGUCGCCGCGGAACCUGGCUUCUAGGACGCCAAGCUCCAAGCUCGUCUCGCCCGCCACCGGAGGACCUCGCCAAGCCGCACGCGACGCGACGCCUGCGACCCCUACACCGGCCUCUGGAACUGGUCCAACCCGGCUUCUACGACGCCCAGCUCCAAGCUCGUCUCGCCCGCCACCGGACGACCUCGCCAAGCCGCACGCGACGCGACGCCUGCGACCCCUACACCGGCCUCUGGAACUAGAACUGGUCCAUGUCCGUUCCUUGCUCCCCUCCCCUUACUGAUUUGUUUUGUUUCAGCACCUGAUUUUGGUAGUGAUUUGUUUCUGAAUCCUGGAUAGAUAGAAUCGUUUCAGCACUUUGUUAUUGAUUUGUUUUGUUUCAGCACCUGAUUUUGGUAGUGUUUUAUUUCUGAAACCUGGAUAGAUAGAAUCGUUUCAGUACCUGCAUUUUUGUAUUGAUCUGAACCUGCAUUUUCUGAUAGAUCUUUUGACAGUGAGGACACUACUACUACUAUUAGGCAGUAGCAAUCACUACAUUAAACCUGAAAUUUCUUAUUGAUCUCAGCCUGUUUCGCUUGGUCAUCUCGAAGUGAUGUGAGCCUUGGAAAUGUACUGAAUUGAAAUCCACUUGCGGCAAUGUCUUUUAUAAAAUCACUGUACUUUUGGUAGUUCUAUAAUGGCUGAGUAGGAGUGUUUUGGCUUUGCAAGUAAUUUUUUUUAGACAAUGGAUUCAACUCUGGGCUGCAAAACAGUAAAGAUUUACGUUUUAGAAUCACCUAGCUGGAUGCUUGCAACAGAUGUAUGUUUCUCCAAAAAGGGUUGGAGGAAAGUAGAUAUCCUUUUCAAUCGAUCAUCAUACUUUUGUCACUAUGCCCUGUCUAUAUUUUCUUUUAUAAACAUUAUUUGCAGGUUUUAGAAGAUUUACGCACUAUUUGGAACUGUGUACUGACAGAAAAGCUGCAUAUCAACCCAAGAGACAGAGGUCUAUAUUCUGCAAUUCUUGUUCUUGGGAAGACAUUUGACAACCUAGGUAUUUCUCCCUUCAUCAUACAUAGAAUUUUACGGUGCAAGGUGGGCUCACCAGUUUAUGAAGUACAUCUUUUUGUCUUGAUGAAAAGCUGAUUUCCUGUAGUUAGCACUUUUGUCUAUUUUGUAGAGAUAUAUAGAUAAUAACCAAUAGUUUGUAUAUGGAUGUAGUUUGUCUUGGAUGGUACUACUAUGCACACUAUGCAGCUAAGAAGUAAGCCUGUUGCUUUAUUAAUUAGUCAAAAUUUUGAUAACCUGUAAUGUGUGCAAUCCCCCUGCUUGGCUUAUCUGGUUGGAAAAUAGAUAGAUGAUGUCCAGUUAGAAGAUGAGGAUUGGUUGGACAAUAGAUGAUAUAUGGACAAUUGGAGAUAUAAUAUGAGGAUUCACAGUUGAAAUGCUGAUUAAAACUAAAUUAGGUCUAACUUGGUGGAAUGGCAUCUUCGGUUUAUUCUCCUGUUUACUCUUUUCAUUGCCUGUCACUAUAUUGAAAACUGAGAGGCCUAAAUGCAAUGUCAAUCCAUAGUUUCUUAGUUAUGCUAAUACAAGAAAAAUGCUACCAUUUGUUCGCCUGCUGCCUUUCAGAUCCAUGGGAAUAGUUUUGCAUAUUCUCUUCUGCUAUAACUGUUAUAUUUGUGCUGUUACCGCUUACCAAUAAGACAUUGAGUGAGAAAAUAAUUAGCUUGCAGGGUUGGAUCGCUGUCCAAAAUCAGGUUUAACAGCCUGAUCCAUACGACUGUGAACCUACGCCCUUUACAAGGUUGGCAGAUUCCUAUCUGAAACUACAAUUUUCGCACUAAUUACUUUAAAGAAUACGCAACUAAAUGUAAACCAAAGUUUUGUGUUCCUCCUUCAUAUCAUAUCAUAUUAGCUGUUACCUUUAGCUUUUGAACUCCAUUUUUCAUACCUCCCAUCAUUUUAUCCUAGGUGGCUAAAUUUGUGCAGUGGUUGCAAAUUAGAUUUGCCAUAAUGGUUGGAAAUAUAUUUCUCAUCCAGCCUAAGUAUGGCACAUGCAUUGAUUUUUAGUAGUGAGCAAUGAGUAGUACUGUUUUCAAUAUCAGGAUCAUUUGAUGCUUUUUAACUAAAAAAAGCGGCAAUCAUCUGUGGUACAAUGUCUAAAUGCAUUCAUUUGUAAGCCAAGUGGAGUUUCUGCUAAUUUGACAGGAGUACCAUGAACCCCAAGUUUAGAAAAUGAGUUGUGUCUACUUUGUUGAACAAAAGCAAUGAGAUUAUUUUUGCUGGGACAGCCUCAGGAAUCCUCGCCUGCAUCUUGGUGGCCCGCAUCUUGGGGACCUGUUCCUUGGUGCCAGUGAGGUCAGUCAAUAAGUCUAUGGUUUUGAUCUGUACUUGCAUUGUUGAGAUUAUGCUCUUGAUGUAUCAAAAUGUGUUUUUCCUCUUAACAAAAAAUGUGUAAGCAAUAAUCGCCUCGUGUCUAAUCAUCCAUAGUUUGUGUGAGUUCAAAAGGAAAUAUGUUGUAGUUUAGUUUAGAGCAACAAUUUAGUUGGCAAGUGACAAUGCAACUUGCAGUAUUCUCUAACUCACUGAACUCAUUUCAGUGGAGUUUUUACUUCACUGAUGAUCCCUGAUUUUUUUGUAAUAAAAAUGUUAUCACUGCAUAUUUUCUGCCUCUUUUAUAACUGUAAAUUGGUUCUAUCGUCUAACCAACAAGACUUAUGUCAGUAUAGAACUUCGAUAUUCAGAGUUCGCCUAUUUUGAAUUGUUGCUACCAAGUGAUUGAUUUGCUGUAAUUUUAUGGUUCGCACCUGCCAGGUUUAGGUGCCAGUUUUACUUCACAUGUUAGUCUUUGGGUUUCUGUAGUUACUUUGCAUUAAGACUUCAUCGCAUAAGAAAUAUACUUGCAUAGCUAUCUUUCAUAUUCUUCAACUAAUGGUUACCGUAUUAUACAAGUGGUUGAAUUGUGGGUACACUCAAUGGAAAAUAGUGCCUCUCAUACACCAUUGGGUGACAAGACUAACACUACUAAUAGAGGUAACCAAAAUAGAAGAGGAAUUAUUAUAUAUUAUUCAGUGUAUUGUUUAUAUUAUAUAAAUGAUAAUCAAUAAUAUAUGGAUGUAACAAUGCAGGAAGCGAUGUUGCACAACACAGGAAAGAAAGGGAUAAGGCUCGAUGGCACGCAAUGUCGCAAGAGAAAAAAGACGAAAAAAAUAAAAAACGUCGUGAAGCAUAUAAAAGAAGAAAGGAGCAACAACUAUGGAUCGAAACUACCGAUGGUUGUAUAUUAUAAAUGUUGGUGAAUAAUAAUAUAAGAUACUAUUGUUGUUUCUCAUAUUCGUUGUAUCAUAAUUGAUAGAUGCUCAGGAUUCAUCAAACAAGGAAAAUGUGGAUCCUAAUAAAACAGAUGAUUGGUUGCAUAGGAAUGAUUCACUCCAUGCAAACAAUAUUGAUGAAAUACUUAUAUCCAAUCCGAUGUCAGGUAAUAAAAUUAUUGUUAGUAUGGAAUCAACACCUACAUUAUUGUGUUGUGUAGCUUUAUAUACAACGAGAGGAUCAUUGAUGGAUAUUUGGUGUGUAUUGUUUGCCUUCCUACUAUCUUAAUUCAAACACGACUAUGUAGGUGAUGCUGGUGAUGUAGUUACUGCUCGCAGCAUAAUUAAUCAGGCAAUGCGAUCACAAUGCAGUGAUGCUUCACGUAAGAGAGAGUUAACAAAUGAGCAAGUCAUGGCUCAUCGUGCAAAAUGUAGGAUGCAACAUGCAAACAAGACACCUGAGCAACGGGAACAAAGGCGCAAGCGACAGAGGCUUUAUAAUCAAGUUCCAUCUCGUAAAGAGGCAAUGAAAGUGGCUAAAAAACGCUCCAGGGAGGUGCGGACACACACUUUAAACAAUGAGUCCAUCGCAAUGGAAAAUCCACUCUUUAAUCCAAUUAUGGAGUGGCCCACUGCAAACUCAUCUAUGCCAGCUCAUGGACCCACAGUAAGCCCUAGCGAUUGGGCUAUCCCAGAAUCCGCUACAACACCUAUUUGCUUCCCACAAGCUCCUGAUGAGACAAAUGAAGAUGAUGAUGGACGCAGUGAUAUAUCGCCUGGUCAUAUGACACAUAGAUAAAAUAUACCAUGUGGGCAAAGGCAUGCAUUGUUAACCCGCCGUAACAAUGUGUUUGAGCGCCUCAUCGGUCAGAACACGGGAAAAUCUAAUAAUGAGGGUGAAGACAACGUGGAAGAAAAUACGCCAUUACCUCAGUCAACCGUGACCAACAACGGUAAAUAAUGAGGCCUUCGUAUCCAUGUUCAUUCACAUGAAACAAACUUUAUUCCUACCUUAACUAUGUCCGUUAUGUGAUUGACAGGAAGCGCUAGAUCAAACAAUCAAAAUGCAUCAGCUACACCUGGACAACCAUUAUUUGAUGAUACAAGUAAUUUGCACUACUUUGAACAUUGUGUACAAUAUUUGUGUUCCUUUAAUGUUAUCUGAGUUGUAAUAUCUCAUGACAUUGUGAUAAUCUCAGAUGAUGAUGAGGGUGAUAUAUUUGAAGAUGAUGAGUAAGAGGAUGAGGGAUGCUUGUUUGCUGGGCAAGGUAUUUGUACCAAAUACCUAUUACCUUUUUAAUUAUCCGCUCUUUUAUCUAACCUUGAUUUUUUUUGUUCAAAUCAUUUCAACAGAAGAAUCAGAUGAUGAUGUCCAAAGUGAUACUACUGAGGAAGACACGACUUCUAACUUUGAAGGACCUGACCCGUAUGAAGUGGUGUAUAGUAACAUGCCUAGGGAGACACACAUGCUAAAACCUGUACCAGAUUGCAAACAUUGUGGAGCAAAGAGAUUUCCAAAAGAACCUCCUAGGUUUUGUUGUAGCAGCGGAAAGGUUGAGCUGCAUGCGCCUGUCGUACCAAACCAGCUCAUGAGGCUUUGGACAAGCUCUGACGCGGAUGCUAGGCACUUUUGUAACAAUAUCAGGUUUUUCAAUGGUCACUUCUCUUUCACUUCCCUAUAUUGUCGCCUCGACAGUGCUACUGCUAACAUUAGAAAUAGUGGCAUAUAUACUUUUCGUGCACAUGGCAUGAUCUAUCACAACAUAAGGUCAUUUGGCAGAGAAGAUGGUAAGGAGCCUAGGCAUCUUGAGCUUUACUUCUAUGAUGAUGAUCCGAGCCUUGAGUACCGGUACCGAAGGUGUCGUGAAGAGCAGUAUCAAAAAGAUAAAGAGGUUAUAAACAGACUCGUGGCCAUCCUUCGUGACAACCCAUAUUCACAACAUUUGAGGAGUCUGGGGAACACUGAACACCUCGAGGACUAUCGUCUUACACUUAACCUUGAUCAGCGAUUGGACCAAAGGACAUACAAUGUCCCGAUGGCUUCGGAGGUGGCUGCUGUUUGGAUCGAGGGUAGUGAACUCCUUGGUCAAUUUCAGAAUAGUGUUGUCCUGCAUGGGAAAGAUAGGAGCAGGCAUGGCAUCCGAUCGUACCAUGGAUGCUAUGAUGCUCUCUCAUACCCACUCUUUUUCCCUAGAGGUGAGCUUGGAUGGCACAUGGAUAUCCCAAAAAAAGGUGUUACUAUAGAGGAUGUCAACACGGCUCAUGCCCUGCGUAAGGCUCGUACUGGUAUUGAAGAAGAAGAAGAAACAGGUUUGUAUAUCUUCUUGUACUUUUCAUGCAAAUCAAAUCAUUAUCACAUGAACACCUCUAAUACCAUAAUUUUUUCAGACUCCCUAGGAAAUUUAUGUGUUUCGGUGCAUGACUACUACUGCUACAAGUUCUAGAUACGGCCAGGAAUAUUUAAUCCCAUACUUUAUGGCAAGCGUCUUUUCCAACAAUUUGCAGUGGACACGUACAUCAAAAUCGAGAGUUCUCGAUUGGAUUACAUACGCAAUCAUCAAACUGAGAUUAGAGCAGAUCUCUACCAAGGAUUGGUUGAUACCCUACAUGCUGGUGAGGGUAGAUCAGAAGCUGUUGGAAAGCAAACAGUGAUGCCUUCAUCGUUUAUCGGAGGCCCGAGGGACAUGAGGUGUAGAUACAUGGAUGCCAUGGCACUGGUGCGAAGAUUUGGAAAACCAGAUAUAUUCCUGACUAUGACAUGUAAUCCAAAGUGGAAUGAGAUCACACGUGAGUUGUACCCUGGACAAACACCACAGGAUUGUCCGGACAUUAUUGAUCGAGUUUUUAGGGCAAAACUAGAAGAGCUUAAGCACAUGUUGUUAAAAAAGGAUAUCCUUGGAAAGGUUCGUGCACACAUGUAUGUUGUGGAGUUCCAGAAGAGGGGUCUUCCGUAUGCACAUUUUUUGCUAAUCAUGGACAGACGCUACAAGAUCACGUGCCCAGAGAAGUAUGACCUUCUCAUCUCUGCCGAACUCCCAAACAAGAAGAAGUAUCCAGAUUUGUAUAAAAUGGUUACAAAGCAUAUGAUGCAUGCACCUUGUGGAAUACUUAAUCGCAAUUGUCCGUGCACAAAAGGCCGUGAAUCAUGCAAGAACCAUUACCCACGACCUUUCUGUGAUGCCACAUUACAGGGCAAGGAUUCAUACCCAUUUUAUAGAUGACGAGACAAUGGCUGAAAAGAAAAAGUUCGCGGAUACGAGCUUGACAAUAGAUGGGUUGUGCCUUAUAACCCAUACCUCCUACGUUUGUUCAAUUGCCGCAUCAAUGUUGAGGCGUGUGGGAGCAUCAAGGCUGUGAAGUAUUUAUUUAAGUACAUUUACGAGGGUCAUGACCACACGUUUGUGGCUGUAAGAGAGGCUGACAAGGAGGACAAUGAAGGAAAUAUCGAUGAGAUCAAACAGUACAGGGAUGCUAGAUGGAUAACUCCACCAGAAGCCUUGUGGAGGAUAUGUGGUUUUGAUAUAAGUGAUAGGUCCCCUUCGGUGUUGUCCUUGCAGCUCCAUCUUCCUAACAUGCACAUGGUGUCAUUUUAUCAGCGUGAGGGUGUUCGAGAUGUGCUUAAUCGUCCAGGUGUUGAAAGGUCGAUGCUCACAGCCUACUUUGAGAAGAACAACACAUCUGAGCAUGCUCGAGGUAUAUUGUAUUGAGACUUUCCUUAAUACUAUAAGUGGGACUCACAGGGAAAACAAUGGAUUAGGAGGGCACAAAAGAAUCAUUUAAGACAGAUUGGAAGAGUUGUAUGUGCUAAUCCGGCUGAAGGGGAGCGUUAUUAUCUUAGGGUGCUUCUAAACCACGUGGCUGGUGCUACCUCAUUCACUGAUCUAAGGAUAGUGUCUGGUGAACUACUACCGACUUUCCGUGAAGCUGCAGAAAGAAGGGGCCUCAUUGAAGCGGACAACACGCUGCAUGAGGGCCUUGCUGAAGCUACUCUGUGGAUGAUGCCAUGUGCACUACGAAGGCUCUUUGCAACAAUCUUGGUUUUCUAUGAGCCAAGUGAUGUAUUAGAACUCUGGGAAAAGCAUAAGGAGGCAAUGUCAGAGGACUAGAGGCGCAAUAACCAAUCCAGCUUUGCAGUGGAGCAGAUGGUCCUCAUAGAUAUUCGGAAGUUGUUACAAUCAAUGCAGAAGGACAUAAAGAUGUACCCACUUCCUGAUAUCGAUGACACAUAUGAUCCAUCUGGCGAUAUUCCUAGGGAGAUUUUUGAGGAGGCCAGCGUUGAGGCAAGCAUUGAUAACAUGGCACUAUCAAAGACCCUUAACGAGGAGCAGCAGGCAGCCUAUAAUGAGCUUAUGUUUGCUAUUGAUAGCGAUGAUGGGGGUUUGUUCUUUGUGGAUGCACCUGGUGGCACCGGAAAGACUUAUCUAUAUAGGGCUCUGCUUGCUACUAUACGUAGUCAGAACAAGAUUGCCGUGGCAACAGCAACAUCUAGUGUUGCUACAUCAAUAAUGCCCGGUGGCAGAACCGCCCACUCAUGCUUCGAGAUUCCCCUCACCCUUGAUGAUGGGGCAUUUUGCACCUUCACAAAACAGAGUGGUACUGCUAAGCUGCUUCGGACUGCAUCCCUUAUUAUUUGGGAUGAAGUGACGAUGAUGAAGCGGCAAGGUGUCGAGGAGCUAGACAACAGUCUUCGUGAUAUCAUGGACCGUCCUAACCUGCCAUUUAGGGGGAAGACUAUGGUGUUUGGUGGAUAUUUCAGGCAAGUUCUUCCAGUUGUUCGAAGAGGGUCUAGGACUCAAAUAGUUGGUGCAUCACUACGGAUGUCAUACCUUUGGAAUUCCAUGCGACAUCUCAAAUUGGUGCGAAACAUGAGGGCAAAGAACGAUCCAUGGUUUGCAGAAUACUUGCUACGCAUUGGGGGGCUCUGAGGAGGCUAAUGGUGAUGGUGAAAUUCGUCUUCCUGAUGAAAUAUGCAUACCACAGACUGGGAAAGACAGUGAUCUUGAUACGUUAAUUGACUGCAUAUUUCCUGCCCUCAAUGUCAAUAUGUCAAACAAUAGCUAUAUCACCACACGAGCAAUAUUAUCUGCACGGAACGACUCGGUUGAUAUGAUUAACAUGAAAAUGAUAAGUCGUUUCCAAGGGAAUGAGAUGGUGUACCAUAGCUUUGACAGUGCAGUGGAUGAUCCACAUAACUACUACCCAUCUGAAUUCCUUAACACUUUGACCCCCAAUGGUCUCCCUCCACAUGUGUUAAAGCUCAAGAUUGGAUGCCCGGUCAUAUUGCUAAGGAACAUCGACCCUGCGGGUGGACUUUGUAAUGGAACCAUGUUGGUGGUUCGAGGGUUCCAAGGAAAUAUUAUCGAUGCAGAAAUUAUGGUUGGAGAUCAUGUCGGAAAGCGAAUCUUCCUUCCACGAAUCCCAUUAUGGCCCUCGGAUGACGAGAUUUUCCCGUUUCAGUUCAAGAGGAAGCAGUUUCCUAUUAGACUCAGUUUUUCCAUGACGAUUAACAAAGCACAGGGGCAGACUCUUCCCAAUGUUGGUGUGUAUUUGCCUGAACCAGUGUUCUCUCAUGGUCAGCUGUAUGUUGCACUAUCUAGAGCCACUGCCAGAUCAAAUAUUAGGAUCCUUGCAGUCCCGCCUAGAGAUAAGAGUGAUAAUGGUAAUAAAAAAAAUACAAGAAUAAAUGGUACAUACACAAAAAAUAUUGUCUAUAAAGAGGUCCUCACUCUAUAAAAAAGGUAGUCUUCUGUUUUGGUCUACUAUUAUAUUCUUACAUUAUGCCCUUAAUUAGUGACAUUUUUCGUGUCAUAUCAAACUGAAUAAUAUAAGAACUCCGAAUGAAUUUAUGCCCUUCUGCAUUGAUUCGUUCAUAUGUUAUUGACUGGAUGUACAAAAUGUUAUAUUAUUUCUAAUAUGUUUUUUCUUGGAUUAAUAUUUAAAUUUUUACGUUAAAAGGUAUUACUGACUAAGCGAAUGUUGUUGGUUGCUAUAUUGGAAGAGAAAUAGAGAGCAAUUCAAUGUCCACACCCUCCAUCUGAGGUCCCAGGUGACUAGGCCGCUGCCGACUGGUGCCCAGAUCUACAGUCCACUGAGUGCCGCACACUGCCUUUGGUUUGAAUAAUUUUAUUGGGUGAAAAAUAAUUAUUUAAAUCCGAUUUUAGGUUUGAUUUGGUUCUCGUUCUGUUUAUAAUAUUUACACUCAAGAGUUUAGUUCAAAAAAAUUAUAAGUUCUAUAAAUAUUUUAAACAGAAUUUCAAAAUUUUAUUACCUUCAAAAAGCAAUUGAUUUUGAUUUUCAAAUGAAUUUACAAAAGAAAAGGAAAAUAAAAGGGAAACCUCCCUCCCCUCUCUCUGGCCCAGUCCGGCCCAGUAAAAUCUUGGGUCAACUAUCAGUAGGGGGAGCACAACGCCUCCCUAUCCCUGAGUCACAGACAGUCGGAGCCCGCCUGUCAGCCUUUAUCCUCUUGCUGACAAGUUGACCCCACUUGUCAGGGUCAUCCCUUUCCUCUGUCCAUAUCCGUUCGUGGCCGGGUCUCACUGAGCCAACCGAAGGACCGGUUCUAAAGGGGACGAAGCUUGGCCGCCGCCGCUCCGUGAUCCUCUCUUGCCUCCCCGGUCUUGCGCGCACCGAGUCAGCCAUUUCUGCUCCCUCCUCUGUCAUUUAAAGCGAGCUCUCUUCCACCUGCAGCACCAUCGUCCACGUCCUCCUUCUCAGUGCCGAGCUAAAGACGAGAACACCGCCAUAAGUUCCGCGGUGAGCUCCUUCUCUUUCUGCACUAAGCUUUUACGCCCUCCGUGGUCUUUAGAACGAGCCGAACUUGCUCUGGCAAUGCUCAUCCCACAGGUUAUGACGCCAUUGUCGCGGUUUCUCCCUGCGGCGGAGAAGGAGGCGGCGGAGGGCAGUGUAGUCGGAGUCGGGGCGGGACGAGGAGGAGGUCUGUGGAUGAUGGUGCUGCAGCUGAGGAAGACAGGGUCCGUCGGCAUGGAAGGGGCGGUGGGGCACUCCGGGGAGGAGGAGGAGGAGGCCGCGGCCGAGUCGGCGGCAGCCAUCUCCACCGUCUCGCAGUCCGCAUGGCCGGUCGUUCGCGCGCGCCCCGGUGAGAAAUGAGGGACGAGGCCAGGCGGGGACUUGGAUGUCGGGGAAUCGGGCACUUCGGGCGGUCGUACGUGCGUGUGCUGGCAAGAAGUGGCUUGUUUCGUGUCCGUGACCUGUAGUGUCUGAACUUCGAUGUGGGCAAAUUCAGUUUUGAAUUGUUUUAGAUGCAAAUACAAUUUAUAUGUUUCAAAUAUGUUUUGAUACUAACUAAUUUAUUUAUAGUAUUACACAUUAUGGCUAUAUACGCUGCAUCUUUUGUAUCAUUGGAAGAUGCCUUGAGCUCUCCAAACAACACACAAGUUGACUUAAUAGCAGUCGUGGCUCAUGUCGGGUUGUGGGACUGCCAGACAUUAUUUCCUAACUCGUUUAGGGAGGUUGCACUCAAAGAUAAUAGGUAAAUGUUUAUUUGAAGAAAAAUAAUCUUUUUAAUGUCCUUGUGUUUUGUUUAAUCAUACUAAUAACUAUUACUAUUUUUUUAUGCAGCCGAAUUGGAUUUCUUCGUGUGUUCGCAUAUGAUGCUGAAGAAAACUACCACAUGUUUUUUUCAGCCGGUACUGAGAAUUAUUUUCUCAUUCCCACUAAUGUGGUUGUCGACUCAUAUGCACGUAAGUUUAUAUGAACAUAAUUAAAUUUUGGUAUUACCAACAACACAAAUAAUAAGCCUCAAUUCAUAUCAAUACAUCAUAGGUUGUCUGACAAUGACCGCUCAUAGUUCCAUGAUUUUUGUGGGUCCAAGGGAGUAUUGUCCUAUUUUUGCAUCUCUAGAAGGUAACUUUCUCAUCCUAAUUAUAAUAAUAUUAUAUAGAAUUAUAAACAUCCUGUUAGAGACAUCUAAUAUUUAUUUUGCAGCUAUCAGAGACGAAAUGCGAAAUAUCGCUUGUUACAAUGAUCAAAUUAAAAUUGCACUCAAUGCUCGAGCUAAUGAGAUCAAAAGGCUCGAAUACAAUGAAUGUACAGCUAUGGCAAACAAUCAAGGUGUCAUUAGUUACGUUAAUGGUUGCAACAUUUAAGAGGUAGAUGAAGAAGUAUUUGUGAUUAAAUAUUAGUCUUUUGUUGUAUCAAGAUUCUUCAAAGCAUCUUGUUUUACAAUAAAUGAAUGUACCUACACUCUACAAUUCAUCUCUUGUAACGUAACGAUUAAAUCUAUCAAGGCUCAUUACAAUCAAUGCUCAAUAGAUUAUUGAUCAUAAAUCUUGGUCAAAUUGCAAAAAGGUAUUGAUCGUAAAUGAUUAUUGCCCAAUAUUUUUGGUCAAAUUGCGAAGAAAGAGCAAAAUUUGAUAACAAUAGUUUAAUCGUAAAUGAUUAUUGCCCAAUAUUUUCAGAGACACAAUUGAUGUUUCUAUAAAUUAAGAAGAUAACAUAAUUCACAAAAAAAAAACAUGCAUGACCUGGUCAUGCCACAACAUAACUAGCGAGUCAGCCACGGUCUCUACCACCCGAAACUCACGAAAGCAUGACUGCCGUCAACACUGCCAGGCUUCAAUCGGUAGUUUCCAUAUCGAACCUCUAGCUCCCUCCGACUUACAAUUGCCCGAGACGGCGCACCUGGCUGCCGCCUCGACGCCUCUGUGACCCAGCACGCGGUUAUCCUCCAAUUCGGCGCGGAGAGCUCGGUGGCCCUCCCUUCGACGUCGCCUCAACUUGGCACGGGGCUUCAUCUGCACAAAGGCGGACGUCAACUUGCCAGGCCGUCCUGUUCCGUCACAUCGGCCGAAGUCUCCUUCUCCACCGCAGCAACCGUUGUUCGACACGCGCUCGUCGACGACGCUGGAUGCCACGACACCACAUGUAGGCUUGGCUGGACCACCUCCACCUCCAUCACGAUAGAUGCUGAGGUCUCCUUGCCACCGCUGCACACAGAUCUUCGUUGGUCGCUUCAUCAGAGUGUUGUCGGGGACCCAAGAGGUAUGCCCUUGUCAAAAAACGAAAGAGGUAUGCACUUGGCUAACUGAUGCUACAUAUGUGUUGGCGUGUUGGUCUUCUAUGUGGUACAUUUUAAAUUCAGGCUAAUAUAAACUAUGGAUCAUUAGACAUAGAGUUAAUUUGUUGCUUACACUUUUUUAUAUAUCAAGAUCAUGAACUCGACAAUGCAAGUACAAAUCAAACCAUACGCUCAUUGACUGACCUGAAUAUGGAAAAUUUAGAAUACAAGAUGACCAGGAGACACUGAGUCAGUGCAUUUUACCUAAACUUUUUAAGCUCAUUGACUGACUUGAACAUUGUUCAAACCAUAAGCCAAUUGACUGACCUGAACAUGGUUCACUAUAUUUUCUUCCUCACAUAUCUGAAUCAGUGCAUUUUACCUACACUUUUUAAGCUUGAACUUGCAUAUUGUUUAGAACUCUGAACCCCACUGCUUACAACUUUGAAACCCUAUACUCUUAAUUCAACCCUAAAAAAAUGAGAGAGACAUAGAGAGAGUGGAAAGCGAUGCUGGAGAUGGAGUAUCAACCAGUUCUUUUAAAAGACAUGAUACUGAAUCUACAAAGAUCGUGAUGCCAAUCAGUUUUUUGAAACAAUGUGGAGCAGCUAGCAUACUUCUUUUGCACAGCUAUCUUAACUGGUUCGAGUUAAAGUAUAUAUGUAUAUCUAUAGCGCCCAUGAGAAAAUUCCUUACAGGCUACAACGCUGAAAAAUCAAUGUGUAAAAUACAGUAGGGCUAAAGAAUAAGAACAUUUCCUCUUCAGCGUAAAUAGUGUCAUUUUAUCAGCAUUUCCUUCACCUUGAUGUUAUAUGCAUGCACCCAAAAAAGUGCAAAACCAAAGAGAUAGUAGUCUCAUACCUUGAGGUUGACCAUACAGAUAGUGUUAAAUGUAAAGUUACUCACCCUGUAUACGGCGCCAUGCAUAGCUAUGCUGUGCAGGGGGCUUCCAAGAACAACUUUUGCAUGUCCUCCUCCCAUUUCUCCUUCUACAUGGAUAUCAUGUAUGGCUCGGCUUGCAUGCCUAAACAGCAAGUGCCAAAAGUGUGAGCAAAGUGAGAGGUCCCCAACUUACCUGAAAAUGAGACAUGCCUAUUUCUGAGUAAGUAGAACCACCAAGCCUGACAGCAAUAAAUAGAGAAAGUAAUAAAUAUAGAACUUUAGAAAAGAAAAAGGCUACAAUAAUAUAUCAAACAAAUCAGCUCAUUUCUCUUGAAGUUUUGUAAGAUAUUCUAAUUAUUUCCCAAAGCAAAAUACAAAAUUAAACGCCUAAAUAAAUAACUCUCCACAUAUAGUUGGCCACUGCGAUGUUGCUGCUGCAAUGAACCAAUCUGAAGUUACAUAUUCCUAAUCAUCAUUACCUAACGGCUGAACUUUUGUAAUUAAUUUGUAGACCAAAGAUGCCAACAAGUCUUAGUUUGAAGAGAGUACGUGCUGAGUUUGUUCGGAGCUCUGAGAUGCCCAGGUAAAUUUCAAAUCUCAUAUUCUAAAAAUGUUAUAAUAGCUAUGAACAUUUGUUAGUAUAUGCCCAGUUAAAUUCACAUGUGUUCUCUGUCAUUUUUCUUACAGAUUUAAGAGAUUCCAAGACAUUCAACUUGUUGACAUUGGUUACUCUUGGAGUAUUACCGUUAGAAUUGAAGCAAAGUUCCCUUUUAAUCAAGACUUUCAGCGCUUCAUCCUCAUGGAUACUAUGGCGAGAUUCAAAAAUAAUAGAAGUAAAAUAGUUUCAUUCACAAACUAACACAGAUGGUAAUAAUGUUAUAUAUAAUUGUAGGGUUGCAAAUUAGUGGCGGUCGUGAGUGGCCCCGAUACCGAGAGGUUCAACAGGUUACUACAACAAGGACGUGACUACACAAUUCGUGAUGUCAGAUUCCAAGUUAAGCCGCACACUGAGUUUCGCAAUAUUCAAAGCAAUUACGAUUGUAGGUUGGACCGUUUGACUACAGUGGAGCGUUGGAACAUGCCUAUACAGUUUCCCAUGUGCUCGAAUCAGUUAACGUCCAUCCUUGAAGUCAUGCAUUGCCCAAGCAAGACCUAUAUAGGCAUUUUUAAAGUCUCCACUCUCUUACUUUACCUUUGUACUAAUACAUGUACUAUUUAUAUAGACAUUGCGGGAAUUCUUGUGCACUGGGGGAAAGUUGAGAGACCGCGUUCAGGGCUGUGUAGAGAGGUUGUCCUCAUGGAUUCAAGGUAAGAUUUAUAGCUUGUAACUAUUUUUUUCUAAUAUACAAUCAGUUUUUUGAAUGCCUCCUAUAUUCUAACACAUAAAUAUAUGUAAUUAUAGAGGUGAUUUGAUAGUUGUGAUCAUGUCAUGCAAAGUCUUGGCUGCACAUAAAAUAAAGCUGCAAAAUGCCACUAGUACAACACCGCUUUCUAGUGGCGGUUCUAGAGGGGUUUGUACAAGCGGCAGACAGUACCGCCAGUAGCUUUCGCCAGUACAAAACAAAAAUUAUACAAGCGGUUUAUCAAGAACCGACUGUGUUAACAAUUUACACUAUCGGCUUCAUUUGUACCACCGUCGCUUGUGUAAACAAUUUACACUAUCGCAUUUAUUAUAUGAUCCGCUUCUGAAAUGUCUUUACACAGUCGGUUUGAUAACAAAAUGCGCUGGUUGAAGGUCAUUUACACUGACGGUUUGUAUAGCAAGCCGUCUGUACUAUAUAGCCAGAUAUAGUGUUCUUUUUUGUUUAUGAUCUACCUAAUUGUUUGGCGAAAUAAUUCUCUGUGCACAUGCUUUUCCUGGAUCUUGAUAACUAUGCAGAAAUACAUACAUAUUGAAAAUUUAUUCUUUUUGUUUGAAAAGCCCAUGCACAACUGAAUAUAUGUCUAUUUUGGUAAUGAACUAGAAGAUCAAGAUCUUAAAACACUUUUUAUUAGUUUUAGUUAUGUGUUUUGGUAUUGAUUAUUUGUGAGGCUAUGAGAAUUUAUAUAUGUUUUACCCAUAACAACGCAUAGGCACUCAAGUAUACACUAAAACAGAAGACUACCAAAAGAAUAAGAGAAUAACUUGUGUAAGAAUCACUAACCUUAGGUGGCAUUUCAGGCCGUUGCUGCUAUUCUGGGCCGCCGGCUGAUGCAACCUAGCUUUGAUUCUGGCCCAUCGGUCUGCCAGCGAAAAUCAAUUAAUCAAGCCAAUUGUAUUUUUGUUAUAAAAACUAAAAGGGAAAGACUGUAGUGGGAACGAAAUGUGCAUACUUUUAUAUCUGAUGAAAAAUUUGUUACUGUUUUCUGGGAACCUCCUUUCUUGAGUUGAAAGUUCAUCCACAUUUGCCAACAGUGGUAACUGAUAUUAUUGUGACAAAAUGUUAGCACAACCAGUUUCUUUACAUGAAACAAACACAACACUGAAGACAAACAUUAUCAAGGAAACAGUACGAAAAGACAAGAGCUUGCCUUGAUUAUUUGAGAAAUUAAACCCAUGACCAGAUGAGGCUGCAAGCAAAUAGAAAUAAAUUUCAGUAAGAUUACUAAGAGACUUGUAUGAAUUCUUUAAAAUAUAAAAAAGAUCAGCAAGCAAUACAGUGGCUGCUAGAAACAGCACCCAAAUCUGAUCAUGGAGGAUGUAAAAUGAAGUAAAUCAAACAAGACAGAUCAUAACUUCAAUGAAAAUUAUGAUACCUGAAAGGCUUGGAUGUUACUAAAACCUGCGGUAGAAUCUAAAGGUCAUUUAAGUUACCCUAAACAUUCACUAUCAAACCGAUAAUCAAGUGGGAUCAAUUGAGAUUGAUUGAUUCUUUCAUGGUACCAUGGACGCAAAUUUCAAGUAUCUUGAAUUUGCACAACAACCAUCAAGCUAACCAUAUGUUACCACUCCAACUUUACAUGAUUGUCCCGUGGUGGUCAAGUGGCAACCACCAGCGUGCUGAAGUACGGACAUGAAACUAAAAAACCUAUAUAGACAAUUUACGUAUAAUUUCGGGCCGUGGCUGCUAUUCUGGGCCGUCGGCUGAUGCAACCUAGCUUUGAUUGUGGCCCAUCGGUCUACCAGCGAAAAUCAAUCCUGUUUAGAGGUUACGAUCAGUUAGCAUAAAAGGGAACUCUGGUAACAUUUGCCUAAUCAAUCUGCUAAAUCCUCGGAUCAAGUCCUCAUCCACGCGAGGUCAUUGCGCCUUCCAAGCAGAAGUACUGAAGGACUACUACGUCUACGUCUUCGAGGUGCCGCCGCCAUCAAAUCAUCAACACACGUCCGGCCGUCAUAAAAACAGUAUGUUUCCUAUCCCAAUUGGCGUUACGUAGGCGGGGGAAAGGGGGGAAUAGCGUCACGCAGAUGGGUGGACGGGGAAUGGGAGCCGCGUGAACGUACCUUGCCAAUCUUCUCGAAGUAGUCGGUGAGACACAGGUUCCAUUCGUUGAUGGUGUUGUCGGUGAUGGCGGAGAGCCAGGCGGGCCAUCCGGCGUCGAGAUGCUCCCCGCGCGCUGUGUUGGCGAAUCCGGGGCCGGGGACGCUGCAUAACGAGCGGGAGCGACUCUACCGCCAGGCCGGCUGCUCUGCUGGUGCUGUCGGCUGCUCUGCCUUCCCGGUGGCCUCCUCCGCUGCUGCGGGGGCCGGCGGCUCGGGUACUGGACGCGGAGGGCUGGCCAUGGACGCAGCCAUGGGGAGAUCCUCACCGGUGAAGUCUCAUGGGGGAAGGGCGGCUGCGACUGCUGGUCGGUGCUGGGCGCGGAUGGGCGGCCGUGGACGUAGCCUAUUGGAAGAUCUUCACCGGCGCUGUCUCAUGGGUGAACUCGAGAGGGGGAGGAUCGCUCCGAGAACACGAGGAACUGGACAAGGGAUUGGAGUGGAGCGGAUGCGGCGACUGCGGCUGAUGGUCGGGUCGGGUCUGGAAGCAGAGGCACGGGCGGAGCUGCCAAGCUGGGCUUUUUGCCAAUCUGCCACUGUGCUUCUGCGGAGCUGGGAUCUCACACUUGUAUUUUAUUAUAUGUUAUAAUUAAUGUAUGAUCUACUCCCUCUUUAAAUCAUAAAUCAUAGGAAAUUUUAUUGUUUCUUCAAGCUGCCUGACAUACAAUUUAUGAAUUUUUAGAUGUUGUUAGUGACGAAACCAUGUAAUAAACAAGAGAAAAAGGUGUGCCCAUCCAGGUCGGUGUUGCAAUAUAAUAAACCAAAGAAAACGGACACGGUCAAAAGUCAACCUCAAGGUUCUUACUUUCAUUGACCCUUCCUAUUUUUCUUUCGCUAAUGAGACCUUCUAAUUCUUUAUUUUCCUGUGUUUUAUGCAGAUUAUGUUUGCAACGCCGAAGAUUAUAGUACUAUUGAAAAUAUUCUGUUGCAACCAAAAAAAAGUAUUGGUGGACAUCCAGGGAAUGACCAUAGAACGCCAUAGAACGAGAUAUUUUGGAAUGCCUCUUACAUGAUAAUAGAUUUUUGGAAGGAGAUGUAAGUAUAUGCAUGCAUGAUUUCAUGUUUCAAAAUGCUUUGCUUAUUCUGAUUCUGAUUUACUGCUUGCAAUACAUAUAUAUAUAUAUAUAUAUAUAUAUAUAUAUAUAUAUAUAUGCAUAGGUCUUAAGUGCCUACAUUGAGCUUAUGAGGUCCGAAAAACAUCUCCAAAACAGAGCUGGUGGAACGGUAUUCCUAGAGAAUACGUUCAAUACAAGUAUUCUACAGCGUGAUGGCAAGAUAAAUGAGGAAUACCUCGAUCCUAAGGUAGAUCACAUAGCAAAAAGGGUGUGCAACUAUUGGGAAUAUGACAUGGUAAAAUUGUGCAUCUCAAGCCCAUAAAUGUCGUUAUCAUUUAGGUGUAUUCCAUUAUAAUAUUUUAACUUUUGAUUUAGGUAUUUCUUCCGAUCAACAUCAAAGACUUUCACUGGUACCUUGCAGUGGUGGAUGGUAUAAAUGAAGAGAUACAUAUGCUCGAUUCAUUAGGUAAAACACAGGAGAAUCGUUAGGAACUUGUCUAUACGGUUAGUAAAAUAUUAACUUUAUUUAAAAGUUCUGCCUGAUUGUUAUUUUUUUAUUACUGACUAUGUGUUAUAUUAGAUAAUUGGCCUACAGAGACACAUAGAUAUUGUAGCAAAACAUAAAGAUAUACAAACAAAAUGGAAGAACCUUCAAGUUCAAGAUUGGAAAUUCAAUGAGGAAUUCACAAGUGCCAUGCAAACAGAUGGGUAUAAUACUCCAUCAUAUGUAUCAUACAAAUACAAUUAUUUAAAAUUCAACUAAUAUACUAUAGAUAUAACUGUUAGUGUUACGUUUUCAUGUUUCAAAAUUGGUAGGUCAUCAUGUGGCUUAUUCAUGCUUAACUACAUGGAAUAUUGGAGAGGAAAAGGAAAAGGUCUAUCAGACAGUGUAACUCAGGUAUAUAGGAAUAAUAAUGUUUUAUUUGUUGAUUUAUUAUAUUUUUUUUAGUAACAUGUCAUCAAAAAAUAAUAUGCAUACAAGAUGAUACAUAGGGUGAUAUGAUUCAAACUACUUGCCAUUUUGUUGAACUGCCAACAAAAUGCCCGGGAAUGGUGGUUGACUUCCGAAACUGAUGAUAAGGAAGAAGAGAGUAUAGAUGAAAUUGAAAUUUUAGAUAGACCACUAAAAAAAAGCAGGGGUGAGAAGUCAUAUGCCUAUGAAGAAGAUUUAAUAUUGUCCAGGGUUUCAAAUUAUAUCAACUCCAUUAGUGAUGCAACUACUUUAGAGUAAGUCACCUCUAUUAUAUAUAUAUAUAUAUAUAUAUAUAUAUAUAUAUAUAUAUAUAUAUAUAUAUAUAUAUAUAUAUAUAAUAGUUGGUAUUUUCCUUUAAUUAUAUGCAUAAUUUUUUUGUAGGUCCUUUGCAAAGAAGUUAGCUGACAUGUUGCAAAAUGCUAACGCACAUGCCCUUACAUUUCGUGACUUGCCAAUGGGCGAACAAGAAUUAAGAGACCGUGUUUGCAAUUAUAUCAUGACAAUUAACGAAGAUAUGGCUUUAGAGUAAGUUUAUUUUCGUGAUAAAUGACAAAUCAUAUACCACGUAUUGUUACAUGUAUACAAAUAUUCAUAUUUUACAGGCAAAAAUGGGUUGUAAGUGCAAAGCCCUAUCCGAUUGUGUUGAGUCUCAAGAAAACCCAAAGGAUGUUAAACAAGAACGAGGGAAUUCAUGAUGAUUGUUUUAACCUGGUAGCACGGAAGUUUGCUUUUGAAGAACUUGAAAAGUUGAAGGGAACAAACAAGAUUGUGUCAAAGCAUUACAUGGAUUUAAAGUUUUCGGUAGGUUUUACUUUAUAUAAUGGCAUGAUAUAUAAUCACUAUUUCUUUUGUUGUAUAUUUCUAGACUUUCAUUCAUUAUAUUACUAUAUAGCUUGCAUGUCAACUAAGUAAUGGUGACGAGUAUCGAACAAAAGUUGAUUAUAACCAACUGGCAAAAUUUGCUCUUGAAUGUCCUUGGAGAAAAUAUAAUGUUAAAGAGUGCACAUGGGUAACGUUGUUUCUCUUAUUAUGUUCCUUGCAUCUUUUGUGUAAAUAAAUACCAUGUUAUUCUUAAAUAUCAUAUUACUGAGAUGCUCCUUUUCAAUUACAGAUUCUAAUACCACUUCAAAUGGUUACAGCAUGAGGUAUUUAUAAUCUUUUUUGUUCAAGACAUGUCUAGAAGAGCUCUCUACAUAGUAGACCAAACUCCUAAACCUGAUCUUUACAAGAUUCAACCACUAAAAAAUAUACAAACAAAAUUCAAAGGGUUUCCACUGCCCUAAAUGAAGUCAUGAAAGUUUCAUGCCCUUGGUGGCGAGAUGAUUUAAUCCUCUUUGACCAUAGAGUUGCAGAAGUCAACCAAUUUGAGUUAAAUGGGUAAAUACUUUUACAAUAGAAACUAUUUGUUUUUAUAUUCUACUAUAUAUAUAAUAGUAAUAAUUUAAUGCUUCCUCAGGGACUUGUCUGGUUAUAAUGUUCUACUUGCUAUGCAUGCGUGGAAUGGUAAAAGGAUAGAAACAUCCAUUUGCAAUAAUGUGAGUAUUGACCUUUGUAGAUUAUUAUUGUUUUUUCACCUCAUAUAUUUGUUUAACUAAACCUAUAUAUGUGUAUAAAAAUCUUACAGGAUAAUUAUGAAGUGAGGAAGCAUAUAUUGCUACACCUACUCACAUAUACCGGGAACAAAAAUAUUGCCAACAUACCUAAAGGUGUUCGAGAUCACCUUGAACGCUAUAUUUGUCUCACAAGCAAAAAAAGAUGAAUUGUUUCUUAUUUUUCUACUUGUUUCUUUAUUUUAAAUAUAAGUAGAUUGAGAUGUGUGUUUUAAUAUUAAUUAUUAUUAUAUUAAUUGUGAUGAUAUGGAAAUUAACGUAUAAUUUGUUGUGUGAUGUGUUACCCGUAGCGACUUUACGUAUAAUUUGUUGUGUGAUGUGCUACCCGUAGCAACGCACGGGCACUCAACUAGUGAGUAUUAAGCAUCACAAUAAUAACCAUAUCCGGAUUAUCACAUAGCUAUCAUCAUUCUCAUCAUAACCAUUAAGUUUAUUUAGUGAAUUCUACGUUGCCGCUGCUCGAGUCAAGUUCUCACUAUCUGGGAGAGACGACAAUUCGAAUCGAUUCAUAUCCAGCUGGAGGGGUAUUCCUAGCACUCACCCAAGCAUACCUCGCGAGGGCAGCUUGGAUCACCUUUAGCACAACUCCGGACCAAGUCGCGGGUCCGUCCAGCGCCGCACCCCCAAGGACCACCAAUCUGCCAGGGCAGGACUCCAACCUGACACCUUGGGCUUACGUCAUUUACUUCCCGCACAUCCUUGCUACCAACCGGGGUGCGCACUCAUACAGAACCGGGUAUCCGGCCUGAGUUGCACUCGUAGGCUUCGCGGUUGGAACGACUUUUCCGGCCAACUAAGUGUUAGGCAUGCGUUCAACAUGACACGAGGACGUACAGCAAAUCGGUCCUUAACCGACACAGACGGGGAUAGAUUCACACCCAAGACCUCCAUGCCUUGUUGCUGCACUAUCGUCAUCCCGUCCGGUCUCAAUUCAUUAUUAGUCUUUGGUUAUUUCCACGAUAGCAAAUAUAACCAACCGUGAUCAAGUAUCCACCUAUCUCUCGCAGGUGACAGGAAAUCACCCGGCUUGUACCGAGCUAAGCAUGGCUAAGCAUCAUUUCGAUCCUGGACCUACUUAGGUAAGUUAUGAGGUGGACAAGGUAGUCAUUAUGCAGCAAGGGUGUCAUAUCAACGCCUAACACUUAAUGCAACAAUACAUAACCAUAGUUAUUUGACAGCUGGACAUGAUAACAAAAAAAUAGUAGGAGGCUUAUAAUGCUCCAGGGCUUGCCUUCGAUGUAGGUAGAGGGACGAUGGUCGGGACACUCCGGUAGAUCCUCCUCCUCAGCUCCUUAAGGUGGCUCCCCCUGCUGCUCCUUCGGCUCGGGUGGUGUGAACUCCAAGACCGUCACGCCCUUGGGUACACCUAAGUAUGCAUGACAAGGUGAUGAAUAAAGGGAAUGCACACAUGAUGCAUGAUGUUAUGAUGAUAAGCCAAAAGAACAUGAAACAAGAUGCAACAUGAUCAAAAGUUCCUAAGAGUAAUUGAAUCCUGACUAAGUAAGUAAGUGCAUACUUCUUCUCUGGUAGAGAGGCUAACUAGACAAGCUACUCAACCGUAGCUACUCACACUAAGUAACUGGUGUCAUGGACAGAUUAGCUUGUCAUAAGAUUCAGCUAUAACCUAGGCAUCAUUUGGCCAAACUAAGCAAGUGGGCACUUUCUGGAAAGCUUAACAAAUUUUCUACAAUUAGCUUUCAGACAUCCAAGAAGGAUUCCCAGCCGAAAUAGGUUGAAACAGACAAAGUUGGCUGGCUGCUUUGGAAAAUCCAGAGAGCAAGCACUUUGCAGCAACUUCAUGCAAUAGUCAUAACUAGUCAUAACUUUUAAACUACUCAGCCAAAUGUCAUGGAAUUUGGACACAAGGUAGAUAAGUAAGUUAGCUACAAGUUUGUUGUAGAUAAGUUUUCCAGAAAACCUCACCUUCAAGCAGUUCUUAAACAAUUGCUAUCAGCUAUACAGAAUAUGCUCUAGGAAAGACAUAAGUAGCAAAAUAAUAUUUUGACACAUACUAAGAAUGUAACAUUGGUUGAAACCAAAUGCACCAGUAGAUAGAACAUGUAUAAGAAACACCAGAAAACAUCAUGGCAAGGUUUAAACUCAUUUCUAUUAUCCCCUUUUCUAUUUAUUUGAUUAUUAGGAUGAUUUAAUGAGCAUGUAACACAAGUGCUCCAAAAAUUCUAAUACAAUUACAGCAAGCCAACUAGACCACCACCAGUUCACUGUAAAAUUUUCAGGGCUCUUGCACAUGCAGAUUGUGAGAUACAAAAAUGACAAGCUAACAAUGGCAUUAAAGGCAUAAUUGUGAAACCCUAUCAAAAAGUGCCAAACAACAGAUUUCAUAUUUUUCUUAGUUUUUCUUAGACAUGAUUACAUCACUCAGCAAGUUUCAACAUAAAAGGAGUUAUAACUUAUUUACUAAAAAUAAUGAAACUUCUAUUUAAACAAGAAUUAUUUAAAACUCCACCAACAGUUAUCCAAAAAUCAUGAUAAAUUUACAAGAGCCUAUUCACACCUUAAGUAACACUCUCCUAAAUUUUCAUGGCCAUAAGACUCAUAGAUCUCAAGAUAUAAUUACCUCCUAUUAAACAAGAUUAAAUCAUAUCUAUCUAUUUAUGCAAAAACAUGGCAUGUUUUAUAUUUUUAAUAAAAACUAGACUAACACAAGAACCUAACAAAAUUGGAAUCACUCCAUUUGGAUCUGUAUAGCUCGAGUUAUGAAUUUUACAAAAACAACACAGGAUCUGCAAAAUAGUAGACACCACACACCAGGGAGAGAGAGACAGAGGCUGACAGGUGGGGUCUGCUGACAGACGGGACCCACGCGAUAGAGAGACAGAGACAGGGGAGAGCUCGUCACCGGUGAAACUCGACGACGGCGAGGUCUCGGUCGAAUCCAAGGGCACCAUCGUGACCCUCUCACCAAGGCGGACCUGCCGAGGUGCAAAACCCUAACUCUACCAAGCUCUAGAGGCUCGUCGGUGUGAAUGGCGGCUCGGCGGCGCUGCGGGCGGUACGCUGGCGUGCUCUGCCGAUGCCGUCCCAGUUGAGCUUCACGCCGAGCAUCAGUGAGUCAAGGGGAAGCUCUAGGAACAAAAAUGAGAAGGAAUGGUAGAGCAGGGAGGUUUGGCCAUGUCGCCGGUGAUCUCUGCGAACUCCAGUGAGGUGGAGCUCGCGACGGAGUGGACAAUGUGGCCUCACGAGUGCUCGGCUAAGGGAAAGAGAUGUACGUCGAGGUAGAGGACGUCGAGGCGGCGCUCUAGGCGGGCUGGCUUGGCCGGAGACACGGUGGAGCGGUCGGGAAAGCUCGCCGAAGCACGGCGGAGCUUGCCGAGAACGAAGGUGGAGGGAAUGGAGCGCUCUGAGCGAGUGGAGGUCGCGUCUGAGGCGUCCUUGCGGUGUGUGGCGACUUAUGGGCGACGCUGGAGCUGACAGGAGGGCCAUCGACGGCGUACGGCCGACAGGUGGCCGGACAUGUGGCGGCGGGUGAGCUCUGUCCCAACUGAAUCGGGCGAUUCAGUCGCCGUGGACAGUAACUGAAACUCGAUUUUCAUCAACGUUUUACUCUCAAUUCACUCGAUGGUUUUGGCUCGGAUUUGUUCCUUUAGAUAGAUCUACAUGAGUUCUCAAGAUUGCUUAAAGGAUCAAGGUCUAACUCGGCCUGGAUUUCAAGCUAUAGAGCUCCCAAGUACCCUAUAUCGAAACUGCCGAUUCCAGACUUUGCUAAAUUCGGCUAUGUGUGGAAACAGCCCUAAUUUCUGGCUUGUGAGCAAAUUUUGAAUGUGUUCCAUGCAUUUUCAUAAAAAAUCAUCAACACAACUUUUGUAGCUUAUGAAAUUUACUACAACUUUACUUUAGAUGUCAUUUACAUGCAAGGUCUCUAACACUGGUUUCAUAAAAGGUCUUUGAAAAGAGGUUUAGGGGGGUCAACUAGGCCAACCUAGGGCUAACCAUGACCUAGGGGCAUUUUUGGGCAAAACCUCCAACAUAAACUUUGUUCAAAAUGUUAUUCUAAACAUGAUUAACGUAUUUUGGAAGACAAUGUGCACUUAUAUGCAUUGGUCACACAUUACUAUCACCUAUAGCAAGUCACACAAGCAAUUCAAUCACAUAGUGUAUACACCAAAUGACAUGUGAUCAUGGUGUGAUGCUCAUGAGUGAUCAUGAUGAUGAUUAUGUUGAUGCAAUGCUCAUGGUUAACAUGCAAGCUAACACUAGGAGUGUUACAUCAUCGGCAGUAAUCUGGUGCUGAGGAUCCACCGAUGUGCUUUUUUCAGCUGCCUCUGAAGUCAAUACUUUGGUCUUUCCCUUAGCAUCCAACAUAUUUGUAGGGAAACGAUGUUGGUCGAUCUUCAUCGGCUUUUGAGCUUUGGAGUUAUCGAACCUAAUUCUCCCAAACUCUAUAGCCGACUGCAGCUGCUGCCUGAAAACUUUGCAUUCAUUUGUACUAUGAGAUGUUGCAUUAUGCCACUUGCAAUACUUAAUCUUCUUUAAUUCUUCUGCCGAUGGAAUCACAUGGUUAGGUGACAACUGAAUUUGCCCCUCCUGAAGCAAAAAGUCAAAUAUCCUAUCGGCUUUGGUGAUGUAAAAUGCAAACUUUUCUGGAUCUUUAUGCCCAAAAGGGCAAGACAUCGGCUUUUUAUUUUUUACCCAUUCUGCCAAGCUGAUGACUGGCUCUUCAUCAGAAUCUGAGCUCGUUGCCUCAUCGACAAAUGACACCUUUUUGUUCCAUGCCCUCUUGGGUUCAAAAGCUUUGAUAUCUUGGUCAGAAAUCCACUGCACUAAAUGGCUCAGACUUUCAAACUCUUGAGAAGCAUACUUGUCUUUAAUGUGUGGCAACAACCCUUGGAAAGCCAAAUUGGGGAGCUGCCGAUCAUCCAAAACCAGACUAUAACAUUUAUUCUUAACAUCUCGCAACCUUUGCACAAAGCUCUCAACCGAUUCGUCAUUGCUCUGCCUUAGCCUGACUAAAUCGGUAAUCUUCUUCUCAUGCACUCCAAAAAAGAAGUAUUUAUGGAACUAUUUUUCUAGAUUGGCCCAGGUGAUCACUGAGUUUGGAGGUAAUGAAAUAAACCAAGUAAAGGCCGAUCCAGACAAAGAUGAUGAGAAUAAGCGAACCCUUAACUCAUCUCUGUUAGCAGUUUCCCCAUACUGGAUGAUGAACCUAUUAACAUGCUCCAUGGUUGACGUAUCAUCCUGCCCCGAAAACUUGAUGAAAUCCGGCACCUUGUACCGAUUUGGAAGCGGAAUUAAGUCAUAUGCUGGAGGAUAUGGUGUCCGAUAAGAGUAAGUGUUGACUUUGGGUUUUAUCCCAAAUUGGUCUCUCAUCACCUCAGCUAUCUUAUCGGCCCAGUAAGCAUCAGCAUAUUGCCGAUGAGCUUGUUGUGGAUUCGGCAUCUGCUGAUAAGCUUCCACAUGUCUCUGCAGUGCACGAUCCCUACAGAACAUAGGAUUAGCCACCGCCUGUUGACCACCAACUUGGUGACCAAGAUUCAUCGGCUGGUUGAUCAACCCUUGAUUUUGAAAUCCAGGUUGCAUUGGUCCUUAUUGAAAUCCCAUAGCCUGAUGAUUUUGCUGAGGCAUCUAUGGAAAGACAAACUGCCCUGUCCAUCCAUUGUUAACAUUCAUCGGCGUAGGUCCUGCCGAUGGCUGAUAAUUGGGCACCAUCAUCGAAUUGACAUACCCUAGCUGUGUCAUAAACCUUUGCUGUGUCAGCAUUGGAUCUGCCGAUGCAUUAGGCAUCUAGAACGUUGGCAUUUGAGAAUUCCUAGCAAAAGGUCUUGUAGUAGUAGUUGUAGAAUACUUGGGAUUCUGAGUCAUCGGUGAGCCUGGGGGUGCCGAUGCCAUAGGAGCAUUGCCUGUCAUGUCAGCCACUUGAGAUGUCCCAGAACUUUUUGCCAUAAAUUCUGGGGGCAUACCAUAUCCCCACCAAUUGGGAGGAACAGAUACUGACAUUGCUGAUGCUAAUAAAUCUGUAGCAAGUUUGACUUGUCCCUCUGAUGUUGAUGGAUUAGUCGUCAUCGGUGUAGAUUGCGCAUUAGUCAUCCCUAAUGUGCUUGGAGGAGAAGUAACUUCCGUACCUGCAACGGCUGUAGUAGCCGAUGGAGCCGUAACCGAUGAUGAUCCUGGCUGAUGAUAGUCAGGGCCCACAUAAGAUGGUGGUAUCUGUCCUUCUUUGAAAGUUCUAGCCACAACAUUGAAAACUGUAUUGGACAGCACAUUAGAUUGAUUGAUUAGAGCACAAAUGAUAGCACUGUCAACCAUCUCUUGUUGUUUACUAGGAUUGGCUUCAAAAGUGAUUUGCCGAGGCAUCAACAAUGCUUCCUUUUGGAUCACCUCGCCACUCCUGUUGAUAUUGAAGGAUUUCAAGCAUAGCUGCUUGUAGUCCUCCAUAGCUUUUGCCAUAUCUUGCUUCUAUUCAUCUCUGAGAUUGGCUUCCGUCACGGGGAUGACGUUCUCCAAGUCGAAAUUAGUGUUCGACAUAAUGAUCUUGAUGUUGAAUCAUUGUCCCACUGGGCGUGCCAAAAGAUGUGUUCGUGCAAAAGUAGAUCUACAAACACAAAGGGCUAAUACCCGAUUCAACAUUAAGACGUGCCAGCCGAUUUGACCUUACAAUCGACAAAGGUGGUAACUCGAAUACUUUGGUCCCGACAACAGCGAUGCGCCCGGAUGUCACGGCCAAGAGGUAUUCACACGGAACUCGAGAAUUCACCGAGGUUAACUCGUUGUAAAAGGAAAAUAUGCAGGUUGAUGAAGUCGUCAAAAGUAGAUGCUGAAAUAGAUGUAAAAACUUGUGUUUGGUUGAUUGUGUCUAACAUUACAUCGCUACGGGGUCUCAUAUUUAUACCCUGCCCAAAAGGGUUACAAUCAGACACGACUAGGACUCGAAUUCCAAAUUGAACGGAAUCCGUACACAAAACAAACUCUAAUAACUGUGGAAAGCAUUAAGUUAUCUUCCACAACCGUUCGGUACACCACCUUGAAUCGAUCGACAAUUCCAGCGCCUUUCUUUGUGACCAUCGGCGAACCACCUUUCAUAGCCAUCGGCAACCAUCAGCACCAUUCAUCGGCAUGAAUCCCUCACCACUCCUAGACUUGGCCAUAUUCUGUCGUUUUCUCAUCGGCACCAACCCUCAUUGGCAACUCUCCUGUCAACUAGUCACCACUUUUCUGCCUGCCGAUCUACGCCUUAUUAACUCCAGAUACGCAUCCAAAGAUACGUGUCCAAAAACGGUGUCGACACUGCCAAGCUAGACCUGCUCAUGAAGAAGCUCGAUGAUAAAGCUAGAGAUAAGAAGGAAGUUAUGCACGUCUAUGACUCUCACAUGAUUUGUGAGGACUGUGGAGAUACUGGACACUCAGGCAAUCACUGCCCUGAGAUGCUUGAGGACGUGAACUACAUCAACAACAAUAACAACAACAACUACUACCACCGUCGUCAACAAAAUCAAGAUUGGAAUCAACAGAGGCCUAACUACUCAGGUAAUUAUCAAAGUAACAAUUCUUACAAUAAUAAUAAUAAUUUUCCACCUCUGAGAGAGUUAGUGUCUAAUCAAGGAAAGCUAAUGGAUAACCUAUCUAAGAAAUUGGCAUCUAAUGAUAAAAUUCUAGAAAAAAUAAAUAAUAGAAUGAAUAAUUUCUCUACUGCCAUCAAGAAUCAAAUUAGCUUUAAUAAAAUGAUUGAAUCUCAGUUAAAUCAAAUAGCUGCUGCUGUUCCAGCUACUAACCCCGGUAUACCAUCACAACCUUAAGGAUUAGAAUCUGCAAAUCUUGUAGACAUGUUUGAUACAGGUAACUACUGGAGUAACCCCGUCGCGGAAGUUACUACUGACCUUCUACCGGUCAAGAGAGGCGAUCUAGGACGCCCUGCCAUCCCGAUCUCCAUCGACAUGGUGGACUUCCCAGAAGCACUCUGCGACUUUGGCUCUAGUGUCAACAUUAUGCCAGGGUACUCUAUGAAAAAUUCUUUAUAUAUCCUUUAUUAGAAACAACCAUGUGUUUGCAGCUUGCCGAUCGGACAUUAAGUUUCCCAAAGGGAAUAUUGAAGAACCUUUGCGUCCGAGUUGGUACCUUGUACGCCCUAGCAGACUUCGCGGUGACAGAGACCGGUAAUGAUGAGAGGGCACCCGUCAUCUUAGGGAGGCCAUUCCUGAACACCUCGAGAGCUGUCAUCUACGCUAGUGCUGCCAUGAUCAGUUUUUACAUCAAGGGGAGGAAGGAGACGUUUUCCUUCAAGGACAAGACUACACAAAUCCCAGAGCAAUCCCGACAUGAACCAAGGAAGAGGACCAACAGGAGGAACAGGAACAAGCAAGUGUGGACCGAGUCAGCUAAGAUGGUCACUGCAGUUCAAGGAGGUCAAGAUCAUCGACUCAAGUCACCAUUCCUGACCAAGAAGGACGACCUAGGUAUGCCAAGCAUCCAGUGCUCCAUUAAUUGGUACAACUUCUACAAGAUGCUUUGCGACACCGGAUUGGGCGUCAACAUAAUAGCCGCAGUCACCUAUGAGCUCCUGUUUGGAACCAUAACCCUAAAACUGACAUACAUUCAGCUCCAGAUGACAGAUCAGACAUUUCGAAAGGUUGAAGGUAUAGUAACUGAUGUCCCUAUUAAAAUAGAUAAUCAUUUUGUCCAUACAGACUUUCAGGUUAUUGACAUUGGAGAAGGCGAGUAUGAUCCACCCAUCGUCCUUGGGAGACCUUUCCUCAGUACUGUUAAACCAAUCAUCUACAUUGGAACUAGAGCAUCUCAUUCUCCCCAAAAAGUUUCAAAAGAGCAAGAACGGUAUGUAUCCCCUCAAGUAGAAUUAGACUUUCACCAUUGUUGUCGCCAUCAUCACCAUACACCAUUCAUUUUGCCACACAUGCACAUCUUGAUUUGACUUAUUGACUUGUUUCUCUGGAUCCAUGGUUUGACUAUGCAAUAAAUGUCUUGUAAGUAUGUAUACUUUAUCUCCCACCUAUGAGCUCCAGAUAUCAAAAGCCUUAUUAAAGUAGGGUGAGAGAGAGAGAGCAAGGUCACUGUGCUUUAUACUACAAAUACCACAUACUUUGAGAGAGAAGGGAUAUACCAUCACUGCCUUGGUAAGGAUCCAGAAAUACCACAAAAGAGAGAUCUGAGAGAGUCAUACAAGGAAUCUCUGAGUUUUAUUUGAAAAUCUGCAAAAACUCCAGAGCUAUGGCUAAUCAAGAAUAAGAGACAUGGCGCUUGACUAGACCGUUCUAUCUUUUAACUGCUCAAGACAGAAAUGACGGUUACAAGUCCCAUGGUAAAAGGUAAAAUGAGUAAGUUUUAAAUCUUGACGGUUUACUCUAACUCAGAGAUGAGACCUUAUUUGAAAGCAUGUGUACCAUCAAAACUCAAAGGUAUUACGCAACUUCUGAUCCAUCACUGAGAUUAUCCUUGCUCAGGGACGAGCAAGAGGUAAGCUUGGGGGAGUUUGUUGACAUUCCUUAAAUAUCAAAUAUAAUCAACAAAUAAACAAAGAAAAGGAUCCAAAUGCAACCGGCACCUAGACUUAGGGUUUUAUCGGACAGAAUUCCAUGAGUUUUGGUGUUUGUCUAUUUCUGCAGGGGGUUAUCAGGAAUUAUGGAAGAAAGGCCCACACGUCGGGUUUACAUAGAGAUAUUAAUGUGCACCACAAUUAUCUAACAUCUAGAAGAGUCCAGAAGCCACGGGAACGAGCGGGAGGCCGAGCGAGCCCGGGGGCAGGGCGCCCGCCCUCCCCCCUUGGGCGCUCGCCCUGGCCUGAGAGCCAAUCAGGCUCCGCCUCGCGGAUCAUGCUCCACCGACCUAAGGGAUUAAGGAAAACCGUGCGAUUAAGGUCAGUUUGAUCUGACGGUCCAUAUUCAUUUGGAGGGACUAUAUAAGCAGACCCCCUGGCCCUUGGAGGAGAGGACCGGAGAAACCCUAAUUCAUUCGUACAUCUUUGGAGAAGAAGUCCCUGAUCAAGCACUAGAGCCACCACAUCAACUAGAUCUCUAGUUUUGCAUCUCUAGUUUAGCAUAGCUACAUAGGAUUAGAACUAGAAGGAAUCAAUCUUCGAUUGGUUUCCGGAUCUGUCAAGAGGACUCUUGGUAAUUCCUCAACUGUUCUUCAUUUGUUCAUCAUUGUUCUUCAAUAUUAUGAAUAUGACUUUAUUCUACUUCAAUAUAUUGAUUAUGACUUUGCUCUACUUGUUUAUAUUUGCAAUUAUAUUGUUCUUAAUUUAUCAUAGUUAUAUGCUUGUCGUAGUCAGAUUGGAAUUAUAUACAUGUUUAGGAUCAUAUAGCGUUUAUCCAUGUGUACAAUGGGUAAAUGAUAAGUAUUAUGUAGGCGUGGUGCCUAUGCCGUAUUUAUCUGCGAUUGUACCCUAUAUGCCGGAUCGCGGGGUAGUUCGUGGUGGUGACAGCUCCAUUGAUUCUUGUAUAGUCCCCCUCUCGUGUAUAGGGCAGGUAGAGCAACAUUAUUACAGGGGAGUGAUUGCUAUGUUUCUUAUCUUCCUUGAUAAUAUCACUAUGCAUGGGCGUAGUCCUGUCUCGCAAUGAUUGCCAAGUAUAAUUGCACUAACUAUGAUAUGCUAGACUUUAUAGUUAAGAAUAACUUAGGAAAUAUUCUUGUAGUUCAUCCUAAUUCCAUGCUAAUGACUUGCUAGAAUAUCUGUUGAGGUGCUUAUCAUUAUUAUAUGUGGCUAGUUAUGCUGAUCAGAUUAAUUAUGUUUGUCACCAGUCAUACUUUUUCUAUAUUUUAUGUGACAUUUAUCCCUGUAUGAAAGAGAUAGAUAAAUGCUCUCCAUUAUACAUGCAAUGAUGGAUACUCAAUUCCAUAUUUCAUUCCAUAAUCAACAUUGAAGAUUAGCAAUCCCUUCCCAGUGGUAAAAAUAUAAAUAACGAUACCUGGAAUACUUUCCGAUUAAAAUGCUACAUCGGUAUUAAUCUGUGCGCUUGCAGAUCUCAUUUAUUAUUCAUUCAGAAGAGCAAUUGCAUAUUUCAUUACCGCGUCUCUCAUGUCAUGCUGGGGAUGACAACUUGGCUUAAGUGGAAUGAGGGAUAGGUUUGGCAUUUUGGGCACCAUUAUCAGAACUAGAAAACUAAGUCUACUUUUGGUAAUGACGUUAAGAAUGCCCAAAAGAUGUGAACCUAACGGUAUACCUAAAGCUUUGAUUACCACUUGAUGAGAACAAGGGUGGCCCGAUCUUCCGAAAGGUUUUGAUAACUCUCGAUUUGGUGGAGACGAGACACAAUUCGAUCCGGCUUCCGAACAACACGAUCUGAAACCCUGCAAUUUUUUUUCGAUAUUUUUCUUUUAGUUACGAGCACCAAAGGAGUAACCACAGAAAAUUUGAGCUUAAACAAGUGAAACACAUGGCCUGCGGAAUUUUUUGAAGAUUGUGAAAAAUGUGAAAAAAACUUGACGAGGUGAAAACUCAAAAUUUGGAGGUGAAUUUGGAGGUUCUAUAAUUUUCAAACCCACCAAUGGAGGGGACAGACAUAUCUGAAAUUUUUUUUUGAUCAAUUUUGAUAUAUGGAACGUUGAAAUCGGAGUUCGUAUGCGAAAGUUAUGGCUAUUUUACGAACGGACUCCAAAUUAGAGGACAAAAUGGUCCGAAAGUAGGAAAAAUUCGCGGCAGUGGCUAGAAAUUGAUGGAAACGGUGGGAAAAAACACACAAACUGGACUCUAACAAGACCUAACCAGCAACAAGACCUCGACCAGGACACAAACUCAACACUGUGGACUGUCAAACUGAAAUAUACAAAGGCUAUGGCGCGGAAGGGUUGUAGGACAAUAAAACGAUAUGACACUAGACUUAUGGGACAAACACAAGAACACUCAAAAGUAAGGGUAGAUGUGAACCUAAUGGUAUACCUAAAGCUUUGAUUACCACAUGAUGAGAAUAAGGGUGAUCCGAUCUUCUGAAAGGUUCUGGUAACUCUCAAUUUGGUGGAGACGAGACACAAAUCGAUACGGCUUCCGAAUAACAUGAUCCGAAACGCUACAAAAUUUUUUUAUUUUUUUGAUAUUUUACUUUUAGUUAGGAGCACCAAAGGAGUAACCAUAGAAAAUUUGAGAAUAAACAAGUGAAAUACAUGGCCUGCGAAAUUUUCUGAAGAUUGUGAAAAAUGUGAAACAAACUUCAUGAGGUGAAAACUCAAACUUCGGAGGUGAAUUUGGAGGUUCUAAAAUUUUCAAACCCGCCAACGGAAGGGACAGACAGAUCCAAAAUUUUUUUCUGAUCGAUUUUGAUAUAUGGAAUGUUGAAAUCGGAGUUUGUAUGUGAAUGUUAUGGGUAUUUUACGAAUAGACUCCGAAUUAGAGGACAAAACGGUCUGAAAGUGGGAAAAAAUUGCGGCAGUGGCUAGAAUUUGAUGGAAACUGUGGGGAAAAACACAUGAACUGGACUCUAACAAGGCUUAACCAGCAACAAGACCUCGACGAGGACACAAACUCAACACUGCGGACUCUAAAACUAAAAUAUGCAAAGGCUAUGACGCGGAAGGGUUGUAGGACAAGAAAACAAUAUGACACAGGACUUAUGGGACGAACCAAGAACACUCGAAACUAAAGGUAGAUGUGAACCUAACGGUAUACCUAAAGCUUUGAUUUCCACAUAUGAGAACAAGGGUGACCCGAUCUUCUGAAGUUCUGGUAACUCUCGAUUUGGUGGAGACGAGACACAAAUCGAUCCGUCUUCCGAACAACACGAUCCGAAACCCUGCAAUUUUUUUUUGAUAUUUUUCUUUUAGUUAGAGCACCAAAGGAGUGACCACAGAAAAUUUGAGCUUAAACUAGUGAAAGACAUGGCCUACGAAAAUUUCUGAAAAUUAUGUAAAAUGUGAAAAAAAAACAUCACGAGGUGAAAACUCAAACUUCAGAGGUGAAUUUGGAGGUUCUAAAGUUUUCAAACUCGCCAAUGGAGGGGACAGAGAGAUCCGAAAUUUUUUUUCGAUCGAUUUUGAUAUAUUGAACGUUGAAAUCAGAGCUCGUAUGCGAAAGUUAUGGCUAUUUUACAAACGGACUCCAAAUUAGAGGACAAAAUGGUCCGAAAGUGGAAAAAAUUUGCGGCGGUGGCUAGAAAUUGAUGGAAACGGUGGGGGAAAAUACAUGAACUGGACUCUAAUAAGACCUAACCAGCAAUAAGACCUCGACGAGGACACAAACUCAACACUGCGGACUCUGAAACUGAAAUAUGCAAAGGCUAUGACGUGGAAGGGUUGUAGGACAAGAAAACGAUAUGACACUGCACUUAUGGGACGAACACAAGAACACUCAAAACUAAGGGUAGAUGUGAACCUAAUGGUAUACCUAAAGCUUUGAUUCCCACAUGAUGAGAACAACGGUGACCCGAUCUUCUAAAAGGUUCUGGUAACUCUCGAUUUGGUGGAGACGAGACACGAAUCGAUCCGGCUUCCGAACAACACGAUCCGAAACCCUGCAAUUUUUUUUAUUUUUUUGAUAUUUUUCUUUUAGUUAGAGCACCAAAGGAGUAACCACAGAAAAUUUGAGCUUAAACCAGUGAAAGACAUGGCCUACGAAAAUUUCUGAAAAUUGUGAAAAAUGUGAAAAAAACAUCACGAGGUGAAAACUCAAACUUCAGUUGUGAAUUUGGAGGUGCUAAAAUUUUCAAACCAGCCAAGGGAGGGGAGACAGAUCCGAAAUUUUUUUCUGAUCGAUUUUGAAAUAUGGAACAUUGAAAUCGGAGCUCGUAUGCGAAAGUUAUGGCUAUUUUACGAACGGACUCCAAAUUCGAGGACAAAACGGUGCGAAAGUGGGCAAAAUUUACGGUGGUGGCUAGAAAUUGAUGGAAACGGUGGGGGAAAAUAUAUGAACUGGACUCUAACAAGACCUAACCAGCAACAAGACCUCGACGAGGACACAAACUCAACACUGCGGACUCUAAAACUGAAAUAUGCAAAGGCUAUGGCGUGGAAGGGUUGUAGGACAGAAAAACGAUAUGACACUGGACUUAUGGGACGAACACAAGAACACUCGAAACUAAGGGUAGAUUUGAACCUAAUGGUAUAUCUAAAUCUUUGAUUUCCACAUGAUGAGAACAAGGGUGACCCAAUCUUCUGAAAGGUUCUGGUAACUCUCGAUUUGGUGGAGACGAGACACAAAUCGAUCCGGGUUCCGAACAACACGAUCCGAAACCCUACAAUUUUUUUUAUUUUUUUGAUAUUUUUCUUUUAGUUAGAGCACCAAUGGAGUAACCACAGAAAAUUUGAGCUUAAACCAGUGAAAAACAUGGCCUACGAAAAUUUCUGAAAAUUGUGAAAAAUGUGAAAAAAACAUCACGAGGUGAAAACUCAAACUUCGGAGGUG
rnacentral:lncRNA from 1 species